GACAGUUCGAAAUACCAAAGUCACGCUAUAUUUUCUUUGGUUCUUUUGGUUAGUCUUCGAUUUAUGCUGUUUGUGCAGCACUUGGAAUAUGAGCUCCUGUACAUCCUGCAGCUUUUGUAGCUCAUGCUGCCAAUUUCCGUGCUUUACCACUUCGAACCUGCCCGUGAUUGGCAGUCGAUUGAGAGAAACGUGGAUAGGACACACCCGGAGUGACAAAACGUGGGCAUCCUGAUGAAUGGCAGCAUUUCAGCAAUGGACAGGUGAUUGGACCUGAGUACCGAGGGCUUGUUAUGAAGAACCUACAUGAUAAUCACACAACAGUCUACCGAGGCGCAAACCACUCAUACGAAGUGGGGGCGGAGUUUUCUUUGCUCCUACCCGAGUCAGCGCUGGGGGAUUGCGGCACUUACCAGUGCACCCUCUGGCCACCCCUGGGUCACUACAUCCAGGAGGGACAGUAUGAAUACUACCCCGCAGGUUGUUUGCGACCAACUGAGGCAUUACCCAUGAUGCCCCUCCCUGUCACUCACUUCAGCUGUUUUGACAUCACAAGAAAUCUGGCGUCUUGGGGAAUUCCAGCCGCUCUUAUUCUCAUCAUCAUCAUCGCUGGAAGUGUCUUGUACUUUUACCAAAGACAAAAACAAUAUAAACUGGCAGAGACCAUUUGAAGUUUCACGUGUCACUGUUAACUCUCAACUAGUUGGAUGGAAGUUAUCUGCUUUAUACAAUUCCAGCUUUUCAGAGAUUAGGUCUUAUCUUUAACACAGUAGCAUCAUAUAUCAAUAUCUGAUGUAGUGGUACAGGGUGGACCUCACAAGCGUGUCACUAUCCUAACAUCUCAAAUUAAUUUCACAAGGUGUCACCCUUCCAUCAAAAAUGGUUCUGGUAUGACUUCGAACAAAAUUUGGAUUCAGUUUUGACCUCCUGUGCAAUUGUCAGCUGACAAUUAUUUUGAUUAAUAUUUGAGACAACACACCCAUAACCUUGAAAGUGAAAUUGUGUGUGUGUGUGUGUUGGUUGGUGUGUGUCUCUGUGUAUAAUAUCACUGAGUGGGGUUUCUCUGUCCUUACUCUGGGAAAUUAGUUGGUGUUGAUAAUUGUUUACAAUGAGUUAAGCUCGCAGUUAUGAAGGUUGCAAGGCACCUUAAGCCACCUAUUCUAUAUUUUUCUCAUCAAUACAUUAUUUUAUUCUUUUUUAUUUGACAACUAUGAUUUGCUGUAAAUAACAUUAAUUGUAUUGUACUUAUGCUGUCUAAAUCUGCUGCAAGACGCUGUGUAAAAUGUGCAAUAUAAAUAAAUUACUUUGACAUUGAAA